GACGAACGCUGGCGGCACGCUUAACACAUGCAAGUCGAACGAGAGAAGAGGAGCUUGCUUUUCUGAUCUAGUGGCGGACGGGUGAGUAACACGUGAGCAAUCUGCCUUUCAGAGGGGGAUACCGAUUGGAAACGAUCGUUAAUACCGCAUAACAUAAUUGAACCGCAUGAUUUGAUUAUCAAAGAUUUAUCGCUGAAAGAUGAGCUCGCGUCUGAUUAGCUAGUUGGUAAGGUAACGGCUUACCAAGGCGACGAUCAGUAGCCGGACUGAGAGGUUGAUCGGCCACAUUGGGACUGAGACAUGGCCCAGACUCCUACGGGAGGCAGCAGUGGGGAAUAUUGCACAAUGGAGGAAACUCCGAUGCAGCGAUGCCGCGUGAGGGAAGAAGGUUUUAGGAUUGUAAACCUCUGUCUUCAGGGACGAAAAAAGACGGUACCUGAGGAGGAAGCUCCGGCUAACUACGUGCCAGCCGCCGCCGUAA
rnacentral:rRNA from 1 species